rnacentral:tRNA from 1 species
GCUCCGUUCGUCUAUCGGUUAGGACAGGGCCCUCUCAAGGCUCAAAGGCGGGUUCGAUUCCCGCACGGAGCGCCA